rnacentral:rRNA from 1 species
ACGAACGUUGGCGGCGUGGAUUAGGCAUGCAAGUCGAACGAAUCCCAGGGGGCUUGCUCUCUGGGGGAAGUGGCGAAAGGGGCAGUAAUGCGUGGGUAACCUACCCCGGGGACUGGGAUAGCCAGCCCAACGGCUGGGUAAUACCGGGCGACGUAGCGAGGGGGCAUCUCCUUGCUACCAAAUGAGUUUCGCCUUGGGAGGGGCUCACGUGGUAUUAGCUUGUUGGUAGGGUAACGGCCUACCAAGGCAAAGAUGCCUAGCAGGUGUGAGAGCACGACCUGCGCCACUGGCACUGAGACACUGGCCAGACUCCUACGGGAGGCUGCAGUCGAGGAUCUUCGGCAAUGGGCGCAAGCCUGACCGAGCGACGCCGCGUGCGCGAUGAAGGCCUUCGGGUUGUAAAGCGCUGUCGAGGGGGAGGAAGGGAAACUUGACCGACCCCUGGAGGAAGCACGGGCUAAGUUCGU